CACGUAGGGGCCAAGCGUUUGUCCGGAUUUAUUGGGCGUAAAGAGCUCGUAGGCGGUUCCGUAAGUCGGAUGUGAAAAAUCUGGGCUCAACCCAGUGGAGCACCCGAUACUGCGGUGACUCGAGUCCGGUAGGGGAGUGUGGGAAUUCCUGGUGUAGCGGUGAAAUGCGCAGAUAUCAGGAGGAACACCGACGGCGAAGGCAGCACUCUGGGCCGGUACUGACGCUGAGGAGCGAAAGCAU
rnacentral:rRNA from 1 species